AAUAAAUAUUAAUAAAAAAAUUUUUAAAUUUAUUAAGUAUUUUAAUGGGGGUUAAAGUAUUUUAAUAGAAAAAAUUUAAAUUUUUAUAGUUAACUAGUAUUGUGGGAGAAAUUUGAAAUAAUUAUAAAAUAUAAAUUUAUUAAAAAGUAAUUUUUAUUUAGUGUAUCUUGUGUAUCAGAGUUUAUUAAAAAUUUAUUUUGGUUAAAAUUUUCUCGAAUUUAAAAGAGCGAAUUAAAUAUAAAAGUUAUUGUAGUAAAAAUAUUUUUAAUAUUUAAUUUGAAAUGAAAUGUUAUUCGUUUUUAAAUAUAUCUAGUUUUUUUAGAAAAAAAUUUAAUUUUAAAUUGAUUUUUAAACAUUUAUAUUUUAUUAAUAAAUUUUUAAGAUUAAUUUUAUAUUUUAAGGGAUAAGCUUUAAAUUAAAUUAAUAUAAUAUUUAAUUUAAUAUUGAAAAUUGUAUAAUUUAUAUUGUUAAAAAAUUUUAUUUUAUUAUAAAUAAUUUCAAUUAAUAUAAAAUUUAAUUAAAAUUUAUUAUUUUAUAAGAAAAAUAUAUUUAAUAAUAUAAUUUAAGUUAUAAUGAUAAAAUUAGUAUAAAUUUUUAUUAAUAUUAUUAAAUUUAUUUUAAGGUAUUUUAAAGGAAUUCGGCAAAAUUUUAUAUUCACUUGUUUAUCAAAAACAUGUCUUUUUGAAAAUAAUUUAAAGUCUAAUCUGCCCACUGAUUAAUAAUUAAAGGGCUGCAGUAUUUUGACUGUACAAAGGUAGCAUAAUCAUUAGUCAUUUAAUUGAUGACUUGUAUGAAAGAUUGGAUGAAAUAUGAACUGUCUUUAAAUUAAAUAUAGAAUUUAAUUUUUAAGUUAAAAAGCUUAAAUAAUUUAAAAAGACGAGAAGACCCUAUAGAGUUUUAUUAUUUAUUUAAAUUAAUAUUUUUAUAAUUAGUUAUAUUUAUGUUAAUUUUUAAUAAAUAAUUUUAUUGGGGUGAUAAAAAAAUUUAAUUAACUUUUUUUAAUUUAAAAACAUAAAUAAGUGAAUAUUUGAUCCAUAUUUUAUGAUUAUAAGAAAAAAUUACCCUAGGGAUAACAGCGUAAUUUUAUUUUUUAGUUCAAAUAAGAAAUAGAGUUUGCGACCUCGAUGUUGGAUUAAGAUAAAAUUUAAAUGCAGAAGUUUAAAAGUUUUGAUCUGUUCGCUCACUAAAAUCUUACACGAUCUGAGUUCACACCGGUGUAAGCCAGGUUGGUUUCUAUCUUUUAAAAAUAAAAAUAUUUUAGUACGAAAGGAUUAAAUAUUUAAAUUAUAUUUUUUAAUUUGAAUUUUAUUAAAUAUAUAUAUAUAUAUAUAUAUACAUAAAAAAAAAUUGUUAUGGAUUU
rnacentral:rRNA from 1 species